rnacentral:rRNA from 1 species
AGAGUUUGAUCCUGGCUCAGGAUGAACGCUGGCGGCGUGCUUAACACAUGCAAGUCGAACGAUGAUGCCAGCUUGCUGGUGGAUUAGUGGCGAACGGGUGAGUAACACGUGAGUAACCUGCCCUUGACUCUGGGAUAACACUUGGAAACAGGUGCUAAUACCGCAUAACAGUUUAUGCCGCAUGGCAUAUGAGUGAAAGGCGCUUUCGGGUGUCGCUGAUGGAUGGACCCGCGGUGCAUUAGCUAGUUGGUGAGGUAACGGCUCACCAAGGCCACGAUGCAUAGCCGGCCUGAGAGGGUGACCGGCCACACUGGGACUGAGACACGGCCCAGACUCCUACGGGAGGCAGCAGUGGGGAAUAUUGCACAAUGGGCGCAAGCCUGAUGCAGCGACGCCGCGUGAGGGAUGACGGCCUUCGGGUUGUAAACCUCUUUCAGUAGGGAAGAAGCCGCAAGGUGACGGUACCUGCAGAAGAAGCGCCGGCUAACUACGUGCCAGCAGCCGCGGUAAUAC